GCCCCGAUAGCUCAAGUGGAUAGAGCAUCUGCCUUCUAAGCAGGUGGUUGCAGGUUCGAGUCCUGCUCGGGGUA
rnacentral:tRNA from 1 species